UAAAAACCAAUGACGGAGAAAAGUAGCCGAUGCAGGCAAGCCUUCAGAGAGUCCCGGAUGGUGUGAUCGGGGCGGCGGACGGUCGGUGAAUGGACUUCGGAGGGCGGAUCAAAAGGCGAAAGCCGAGUAGAGACCGACGGGUAUCCCACCCGUUAUCCAUCGGGGCGCGUAUGAUGGUGCGCGUAAGCGAGCGGGCGUUUGAUAACGUCAAUUUGGGUGGUAUCGCAGAAGUUCAACGACUUUUGUCCCAUGU
rnacentral:ncRNA from 1 species